GUCUUGUAAAUAUAAAAUUUGUUAAAGAUUAAUCUUAUAGUCCCCAAUUAAACAUUAAUUAUUUUUAUAUCUAAUUACAAUCUUGGCGGGCCAUGUUGUUUUUCAUUUUUCACUACCCACUGCUGUCCUUUCUCUUCCUUUCUCUCAUCGCUCUUCUUUAUGCAUUGCACAUGAUAAAUCCAAGCCUAUUAUAUUAAAGAAAAUAUUAGAGUUUGAUCAUGCAAAGCUGAAUUCAACAACACUAAAAACUAAUGUUCGUUCCAAUGCUAACUUAGUCGAAGAAUGGAAGAGGAGUCUCACUCUAAAUACUCGAAUGAAAAGCCACAAUCCCAAA
rnacentral:lncRNA from 1 species